ACGGGUGAGAAACGCGUAGGAAUCUGCCUUAUAGAGGGGGACAACCCGAGGAAACUCGGGCUAAUACCGCAUAAUACUCUACGGAGGAAAGGCUGGGUAGCAAUACCUGGCGCUAUGAGAGGAGCCUGCGUCUGAUUAGCUAGUUGGUAGGGUAAAGGCCUACCAAGGCGAUGAUCGGUAGCUGGUCUGAGAGGAUGAUCAGCCACACUGGGACUGAGACACGGCCCAGACUCCUACGGGAGGCAGCAGUGGGGAAUAUUGGACAAUGGGGGCAACCCUGAUCCAGCAAUACCGCGUGUGUGAAGAAGGCCUUAGGGUUGUAAAGCACUUUAGGUGGGGAAGAAGGUUUGGAGUUUAAGAGACACCAAAUUUGACGGUACCCGCAGAAUAAGCACCGGCUAACUCUGUGCCAGCAGCCGCGGUAAUACAGAGGGUGCAAGCGUUAAUCGGAGUUACUGGGCGUAAAGGGCGCGUAGGCGGUCUUGUAAGUUGGAUGUGAAAUCCCUGGGCUCAACCUAGGAACUGCAUUCAAUACUGUAAGACUAGAAUAUUGUAGAGGGUAGUGGAAUUUCCGGUGU
rnacentral:rRNA from 1 species